UGAGGGAUUUUGCGCAAUGGGCGAAAGCCUGACGCAGCAACGCCGCGUGAGUGAAGAAGGCCUUUGGGUCGUAAAGCUCUGUCAACAGGGAAGAAGUUAUAAUAUGGUAAUACUAUAUUAUAUUGACGGUACCUGAGAAGGAAGCACCGGCUAACUCCGUGCCAGCAGCCGCGGUAAUACGGGGGGUGCAAGCGUUAUUCGGAAUUAUUGGGCGUAAAGGGCGCGUAGGCGGUUCUUUAAGUCAGAUGUGAAAGCCCGCGGCUUAACCGCGGAAGAGCAUUUGAAACUAUGGAACUUGAGUACGGUAGAGGAAAGCGGAAUUCCUGGUGUAGAGGUGAAAUUCGUAGAUAUCAGGAGGAACACCGGUGGCGAAGGCGGCUUUCUGGACCUGUACUGACGCUGAGGCGCGAAGGCGUGGGUAGCGAACGGG
rnacentral:rRNA from 1 species